rnacentral:tRNA from 1 species
GUCCUGGUAGCUCAGCUGGAUAGAGCAAUGCCCUUCUAAGGCAUCGGUCGGGGGUUCGAAUCUCUCCCAGGACGCCA